UGUUAAAAGCUAAACAACAGAUCUAUCUCCGGACGCUGCUGCUUCACUCAAUUGCAACUAAUAACCCAUUAAAGACAGCGCAGGGGGAACCGAAUUCUCUCCUGCAAAGCGACAUAAAUCCAGCGAAAACCCAUUAAACCGCCGCCACCGCCACCAAGCCACGCAGCACUACACACCACAGCAAACAACAGUGAAGGCGAUGGUUACUGCUGUCAAUCUUGGCAAUCAAUGUGAGCGGCCAUGUCGUAAGUAUUCAAAGCAUUUCCCGUCGUGCAACAUCAGAAAGUGAGUGGCCAGGGCAUUGAUCUGAGGAAGGCAAAAGGAGGCAGGGCUCCCCCGCCCAGACAGCACAGGCAAGAUGAGACAACACAGGGAGAGAGAGGAGGGAGAGGGGAAGGGAGGGAGAGACACAGAGAGAGAGAGAGAGGCUGGGAGCGAGCGGGGAGAGCAACAACUGCGGAGAAAGUGAGCACAAAACAGAAAGUGAAAUCGGCGCGGGCUGCCAGCCGCAUCCCCGCGCAGCUAUCACCACUCACAGGGCCAUUAGACACAUGAAACCCUACACCGCUCUGCUCCCGCUAAUGACCACUGAUUGCCCGGAGUGGUGAGGAAAGUGAACACCCGCCGUGCAGAUCCGUGUACACGUGCCGAGAAACAAGAAAGCGCUUUCACUUGGAGUGUUACCCCACGUUUAGAAACAGCGUUUGGAAUUACUGCCCUUGCUUUGGCUUCAUGAUGGCUAGAGGCAGAUGUUGAGGAGGGAUGCUGACCUGCUGGGGGUCCCUGCUCAGGGAAGGGACCGCAGGCGCUCACAUCACGUCGGAGCACUUACCUGUGCACAGCUGUCAUGGCAUUUUGCGCCGUGUGUCUCACUAAUUGCGUUAAAGUAAAGGAAUAUUCAACAAGCGAGGCAACCUGUCUGUGUGCUGAGUUGUACGCACCGCAUCUUUAACCUGAGCAGCAAACCUGCAACUCCUGGAGAGUUGGCGGAACAGCCUCAAAAGUUUUGGAUUCAAAGGGCAAGAAAUUUCACUUUAAAAGUCAUUCACCCACUUCUAAACUGCCCUCUCACCCCAGUUAAUGCCGGACAAUUAAGAGGCAUGUUUAUAAAUUCCCUCUGCGGACACUGUCCGACAAUGAAGGCUUGUUAUAGGCUUGCUAAGGAUGUUCAGAGAAACUUUUGCAAAAUAAUCAACAGCAUCUGAGAGAAAGCUGAAGGUAAAGAAGUUAAAGCCUGAUAAUCCGAUUGGGAAAAAGUUUUGUUAGACUAGAUAGAAGUAAAUUACUGCACGUUUCUUCAAAAGCAAACCCAUCAGCUGAUACGAGUUCUCCUAGAACAAGAACCUCUGGCGAACUCCUCCAAAUUUAGGGGACGGUUGUAUUUUGUAACACUCAAAGCUAAAGAUCUGCCUGAAAACAAAAACUCUGAAUUCCUUACAGCGUCAUCUGCCAACAAAAUGUAUUGUCUUGGCAGAAAGAGUAUCAAGGAGAUUUUAAUUUCAUUUUAAACUGUGCAUCAUCUUGAUAGCGAAGGAAAAAGCCGCAGCAACAAUCUCCCCACUCCACGCCCCCGCCAUUCAAAAAAAAAAAAAAAAAA